GGAAGAAGCACGUAAGGGUGGAUGGAGGAUGCCUUGGCAUUAAAUGGCGACGAAGGACGCGGCGUAGCGGCGAUACUCUUCGGGUAGGUGCGUAGCAACCUGUGAUCCGGAGAUGUCCGAAUGGGGAAACCCUCUGCGGAAAACCCGCAGAACCGGCGCAUCUCACUAAGGCGAGAUGCGAAUGAUUAAAUUUUUAUUUUUGUAAUUUUAUAAAUAGAAUUUCAAAUUGAAAAUUCGCAUAGAACUUUAGUGAGGUGCGUUGGAGCGCACCUGGUGAAGUGAAACAUCUCAGUAACCAGAGGAAAAUAAAACAAGUCGUGCCUCACUUUUGNNNNNNNNNNNNNNNNNNNNNNNNNNNNNNNNNGAGCGAGGCACGAAAGAUUCCCUGAGUAGCGGCGAGCGAAACGGGAGAAGCCUAAACCAGCCGACGCAUAGCAUCGGAACGACGAUCCGCCAGCUGGCGGAUUGAAAUUCCGCUGCUAUGUAGCGGGUGGGGUUGCAAGGCAGGAAAAAUUUUGCGUUUCGCGUAGGACUUCGCAAGAAUAAUUGCGCGAAUCGCGAAAGUUGGUUACAAAUCAGCUUGGUUAGCCGAAGUUAUUGGAACGUAACACCAAAGAGGGCGAACGUCCCGUAGGCGAAAACCAUGCGACCAAUUUUUUUCUGUUCUUAAGUACCUCGAGGCCAAAAUACCACGAGGGAAGCCGGGAGUACUAUCUCCCAAGGCUAAAUACAUUUAAUGACCGAUAGUGAACUAGUACCGUGAGGGAAAGGUGAAAAGUAGCCCUGUUAGGGCGAUGAAAUAGUACCUGAAACCAUCCACUUACAAAGAACCGGAGCACUGACCAGUGCGUAGCACUGGAAUGACGAUCCGCCAGCUGGCGGAUGGAAAUUCCACUGCUAUGCAGUGGCGUGUGACGGUGUGCCUAUUGAAGAAUGAGCCAACGAGUUUAUUUAUAUUGCGUGUCUAAGUCCGAGAAGGACGGAGGCGUAGGGAAACCGAGUGUUAAUAGCGCGUAUCGUGUCUCACCAUCGUUCAGCACACGCUGAUCUAUGCCAAUUGAGCCAAUGAUUAAUGUGGAUUAUGUUGAAAUGCAUAUCCGUAUAAAUCAUUCUCAAGUCCGUGUUAAUCCGUAUCAGUGCCGAACGGUAGCGAGACACGAUAAGCAGUAUGAAUAAGACCCGAAACCAGACGAGCUUGCCCUGGCCAGGGUGAAGUCCCGCGAAGGCGGGAUGGAGGCCCGAACCGGUUGGUUGUUCAACACCUUCGGAUGAGUUGGGGUAAGGAGUGAAAAGCUAAUCGAGUUUGGUAAUAGCUGGUUCUCUCCGAAAUAGUUUUAGGACUAGCGUCGGAAUAAGAUUCUCGGGGGUAGAGCACUGGAUGAUCGUGAAAGGGAGAAAUCUCGCGCGAUCAAUCAAACUCCGAAUACCGAGAUAUUGUUUUCCGGCAGUCAGACUACGGGGGCUAAGCUCCGUGGUCGCGAGGGGAAGAGCCCAGAUCGCCGUCUAAGGUCCCCAAGUCCAUGCUAAGUGUUAAAGGUGGUCGCGUUCCAUAAACAGAUAGGAGGUUGGCUUAGAGGUAGCCAUCCUUUAAAGAGUGUGUAACAACUCACUAUUCGAGGAAUGCGGCGCCGAAAAUUUAUCGGGGCUCAAGCAUGGCACCGAAGACGCGGACCGUUGCGGAGCAACGGAAGCUCCAAAUUCCAGAUUCCAAAUUCUAAAUAAAUUCUAAAUUCUAAUUUUCAAAUAUCAAAACGAAUAAUUGUUUUGGUCAUUUGAAUUUUGUGCUUUGAUAUUGUUUAGGACUUGGUGUUUGGUGCUUGGGAUUUCCGUCGCUUCGCGACGGUGGUAGGAGAGCAUUCCAUGAGCACUGAAGCAGAACCCGUGAGGGGCUGUGGAGCGCAUGGAAGAGAGAAUGUUGGCAUUAGUAAUCGCAAUCCCGAUGAAAACUCGGGACCCCGAAAAUCCAAGGUUUCCUCCGCAACGAAAAUCGACGGAGGGUAAGGCGGCCCUAAGGCAAUGGCGAAAGCCGCAGCCGAUGGACAGCCGGUUAAUAUUCCGGCCCUCCCGCUUUUUUUCGAUGAAGUGACGAAGCAAAGUAGAUUGAACGUCUUAAUGGUUUGAUGUUUUUGACCGAGUGUGGGUGCUAGGCAAAUCCGGCAUCCUGGAUUCAAUUCCGAACAUCAGGGUAGAAACGAGGUAGGGUUUUUUGCCUUGCCAAGUCAAUCGAGCUUGUUUCCGAGAAAAGCUUCUAGAGCUAAAAAAGUGGGAUCCGUACCGUAAACCGCCACAGGUGGGUGAGGCGAGAAGCCUCAGGGGAACGUGUGAGUCCUCGUUAAGGAACUCGGCAAAAAAGCUAGGCGUAACUUUGGGAUAAGCCUUGCCAGUGCUUCGCACUGGCCGCAGCUAAAGUAUCUCUAGCGACUGUUUACCAAAAACACAGCUCCCUGCGAACUCGUAAGAGGAAGUAUAGGGGGUGACGCCUGACCGAUGCGAGAAGGUUAACGAUGGGGGUUCCCAGUGUGCAGCACUGGAAUGACGAUCCGCCAGCUGGCGGAUGGAAGUUCCAACGCUGUGCGUUGGGGGCUCACUGUCCGAAGCCCUCGUCAAUGUCCGCGGUAACUAUAACCGUGUUAAAGUAGCGCAAUUCCUUUCCGGGUAAGUUCCGGAGCGCAUGAAAGGCGUAACGACUGGAGAACUGUCUCAACGAGGAGCUCGAUGAACGUGCGAUACCCGUGAAGACGCGGGUUACCGGCAGCAAGACGAAAAGACCCCGGAAGCUUUACUGUAGCUUGAUAUUGGGAGUAAUAGUGUAAUGCGUAGCAUAGUGGGGAGACUUUGAAAGUUCGCUUUCGGGCGGACCGGAGUCGCCAGUGAAAUACCCAUCUUUAUAUUGUUGCUUUCUAACCCGUACGGCAAAAACGUAUGGGGACAGUGUCUGGCGGGCAGUUUUUCUGGGGCGGAACCCUCCUAAAAAGUAACGGAGGGGCCUAUUAUGGUCAGCUUGGCGCGGAUGGAAAUCGCGCCUAAAGUGCAAACGCAAAAGCUGGCUUGACUGCAAGACUUACAAGUCGCGCAGGUGCGAAAGCAGAGGUUAGCGACCCGACUAUUCUUUAUAGAAAGGUAGGAGAUAACGGACAAAAGUUACUCCGGGGAUAACAGGCUGGUGUUGUCUGAGCGUCCCUAGCGACGACAACGCUCGGCACCUCGAUGUCGGCUCACCACAUCCCGGGGGUGGAGAAGCUCCCAAGGGUUUGGCUGUUCGCCAAUUAAAGUGGUACGCGAGCUGGGUUCAAACCGUCGUGAGACAGGUUGGUCUCUAUCUGCUGUCGGCGUGGGUGUUUGAGGGAAGUUGGCCCUAGUACGAGAGGACCGGGCUGAACGAACCUCUGGUCUAUCGGCUUUGCCACCAGGUGAAUUGCCGAGUAGCUAAGUUCGGACAGGAUAAGCGCUGAAAGCAUCUAAGCGCGAAGCCUCUCCCAAGAUUAAAC
rnacentral:rRNA from 1 species